GGGGCCUUAGCUCAGUUGGUAGAGCACCGGCUUUGCAAGCCGGGUGUCAGGGGUUCGAAUCCCCUAGGCUCCACCC
rnacentral:tRNA from 3 species